rnacentral:rRNA from 1 species
GAGUUUGAUCAUGGCUCAGAUUGAACGCUGGCGGCAUGCCUUACACAUGCAAGUCGAACGGCAGCAUGAUCUAGCUUGCUAGAUUGAUGGCGAGUGGCGAACGGGUGAGUAAUCCAUCGGAACGUGCCCUGUAGUGGGGGAUAACUAGUCGAAAGAUUAGCUAAUACCGCAUACGACCUGAGGGUGAAAGUGGGGGACCGCAAGGCCUCAUGCUAUAGGAGCGGCCGAUGUCUGAUUAGCUAGUUGGUGGGGUAAAGGCCCACCAAGGCGACGAUCAGUAGCUGGUCUGAGAGGACGAUCAGCCACACUGGGACUGAGACACGGCCCAGACUCCUACGGGAGGCAGCAGUGGGGAAUUUUGGACAAUGGGGGCAACCCUGAUCCAGCAAUGCCGCGUGUGUGAAGAAGGCCU